UACGUAGGUGGCGAGCGUUAUCCGGAAUGAUUGGGCGUAAAGGGUGCGCAGGCGGUCCUGCAAGUCUGGAGUGAAACGUAUGAGCUCAACUCAUGCAUGGCUCUGGAAACUGGAGGACUGGAGAGCAGGAGAGGGCGGUGGAACUCCAUGUGUAGCGGUGAAAUGCAUAGAUAUCACGCAGAACCCCGAUUGCGAAGGCAGCAUACCGGUGCACAACUGACGCUCAGGCACGAAAGCGUGGGUAUCGAACAGG
rnacentral:rRNA from 1 species